CAUAAUCUCAUCAAUCACACUGAGUUUCAAGUAUAUCUUGUGUCAAGUAUACUUCUCCAGAGUUCUGGCCUUCUACACAGGUGGCCAUACCCAAGGUGAGCUUUGCAGGCAAACAAGGACUCCCUGCUGGAUCUGGGCCUUCAAAAUCAGCGUUUCCAAAUGCAACAUCAUUUUAAGAAUACAGGCUGAUUGAAGGCAAACUCCACCUCGCUUUUAUACCUGGAUGACCCUGAGCAAAUGACAUAACCUCCAUGGAUUCCUUUCAGCAUUAUGUCUCCGAUCCCAUGAUCCUAGGUGCCUCUGAGCUCCUUUUUAGAGGAUUAUCAUUGUUCAGCAGUUCUCUUUGUAUACAACCUCAAUUCACCUCUACUGUUUUCACCCAUUGAUUCUACUUGCUGCGUGAGAGAACAAGGAAGACCUUUUUUAAGUCGGCCAUUUUUUUUUGUUUUGUUUCCAAGACACAAGAAGAAAGACUGGGAAGAAGUCUA